rnacentral:misc_RNA from 1 species
AAGUCGUAACAAGGUUUCCGUAGGUGAACCUGCGGAAGGAUCAUUUCCAAAAAGCAAUUGUGCCUUAUAUACACCUUUUGGUGUGUGAAAAGUAUAGGAAUUGGUACCUUAUCAAUUUUACUCUCUCUUCUAAUUGUGGUUAUGCAUCGCGUAUGCAGACCAUCAUUUAGUAAGAGAGAGGCCUUGAUGAACCCACAUCCUUUUGUAAAGGACUCUACAUUUAUUCUAAAUGUUUAGUACCUUGAACAGGACGUUAACAAAAAGUCUCGAUAUGUUUCCAAGUAAAAAAAAGAGAAAGAGUUGGUGUAUUUGAAGUAUCUAGCAUACUACAAUAUACACUCAACAAACUACUCUAUACACAAGUAAAUAUACAGACAACUUUUAACGGUGGAUCUCUUGGCUCGU